rnacentral:ncRNA from 2 species
CUGAAUACUCAGCGGACAGGUGCCCGUAUAAGGGAGAAUAGGGAAUCAGGUGAAAGUCCUGAGCGGUCCCGCCACUGUGAGGGGGAUAUUACCUUAUAUAAUGCCACUGGGAAACCGGGAAGGCGUAAGGUAAAGAUGAACCCGAGCCAGGAGACCUGCCUGUCUUGCUUUUGCUUU